rnacentral:rRNA from 1 species
UACGUAGGGGGCGAGCGUUGUCCGGAGUUACUGGGCGUAAAGCGCUUGUAGGCGGUCCACCAAGUUUGGGGUGACAGUUGCCGACUUAAUCGGCAAAGUGCCUCAAAGACUGGCGGACUUGAGGGCCACAGAGGGACAUGGAACUCCAGGUGUAGUGGUGAAAUUCGUAGAUAUUCGGAAGAACACCAGUGGCGAAGGCGGCUCACUGGACCGGUAUUGACGCUGAGGUGCGAAAGCGUGGGGAGCAAACAGG